CCCUGCAUUCGAAAGUGACCCUGGGCUGCUGUGUCCUGGUCAUUGAUAGUGCAGGGAGAGGAAUUGCUGAAAGCAUUUCCCCGUGUUUGGAGGGUCCACUCCUGUCCCUUCCAGACCCUGGAGCUUUCCUACA
ensembl:snoRNA SNORA71 Small nucleolar RNA SNORA71